GGAGGGUGCAAGCGUUACCCGGAAUGAUUGGGCGUAAAGCGUCCGCAGGCUGUUUGUUAAGUCGAGUAUUAAAUCUUGGAGCCCAACUUCAAGGCCGUGCUCGAAACUGGCAAACUAGAGUUUUUCAGAGGCAUAUGGAAUUCUGUGUGUAGGGGUAAAAUCCGUAGAUACACAGAGGAACACCAAAAGCGAAGGCAAUAUGCUGGGAAAAUACUGACGCUCAUGGACGAAAGCGUAGGUAGCGAACGGGGACUAGAUACCCCGGUAGUCUACGCCGUAAACGAUGGAUACUAGUUGUUGGAGGUCUCAACCCCCUUCAGUGACGACGCUAACGCAUUAAGUAUCCCGCCUGGGGAGUACGAUCGCAAGAUUA
rnacentral:rRNA from 1 species